GGAGGAGGGCACUCGAGCUCGAGAAUGGCAAGCAGCGGCGCUAGGGCAAUAGUGCAGAAGAUGAAUGGGUGCAAUGGCUCGGGUGAAAUGGAAGAGAUGAGUCCCUCCGUUAUUUAUAAUCACGACAUAGUUAACCGAGAGGCAAAAAUUACGGGGAAUAUUCCGUUUUUAAAAGCCCUCAAUUAUCGUUGGAACUAUUUCCAAUUUUUUUUGAAAAAGAUAAGGUUUCUAAAGCUGAACGAUCACGUGGACCAAAGGUUGACCCUUAUACCCAAACUAGUUGUGUAACGGCUCAGGGGCUGUGUGCCACGUGCCCGUUGGACAAAAAGUUUUUUCUUUGAGUUUUAAGGAAAAAAU
rnacentral:lncRNA from 1 species